CCCACUAUUAUUCAGCACCAUUGGUUUCUAUACCCUUAUUGUUGGAAAUCCUUUUUCCCUACAGAAAUAUUGAGUAUUUAAGAGCAUUGUCUAUCAAGAUUUACCUCAUUUACAUCCAAUUCUUUAAGGUCAAAAUUCCAUUUCAACCUCUUCGGAUCAUAUCUAUCAGGAAUCAGUAUAGACACUUGUGUGAAGCAAAACCUUUGCAUCACCCUUAUAAAAGUCAACAUAAAACGAAUCCAUUAAUAUAUCUUCCUAAAAAGAAACACAAUGAGCACACAGUCAGAGUUUUGGGUUCUGUUCUCAGGCAUAAGAAUGCAAGAAGACAACGGUAAGAAUUAGUUUUUACUAUAUAUUCUCAAUAAAUCAAAAUCAAUCAGUACCGAAGCAUGCAAAGUUUCAAAAGAUUUUCUGAUACAUAUAUCUCAUAGAUGAAAUGAUAUCAUAUAUUACAACUGCUAUUAGCCUGUGGAACAAUUGAACGGCAGAGUACCAUAUAUAAACCUUCUCAACAUUAUAGGGUCAAGCCAGUUCAGAAAAUCAAGAACACUGAAAUAUUAAAUUUAGCAGAAAUUCCUUUCCUUAAUAAAAUUAAACAGUAAAGAGUACCUUAUAUACACUUCCUCGGUUUACCUCCAAUUUUCUUAAUACAAAAACCCUGAUUAAGGUAUUAACAACUUUAAAAUUCUAUAUUUUAAGCAAUCAAUUACAGAUAUUUAUCUGAACCAAUUGCUCUUAACAAAUUUUUAUCUCAAUAAUACUUGAAAAAGAUUAAGUUUUAAAUUUGCUAAAAUAUGAAAAGAAAAGGGGGCAAUCAAAGAAUUAAGAAAUUUUCUUCUGUUUUUUCAGUACAUCUUAUCAAAUUAAACAAUCAAAUAGGAAAAAUUACCAUGGGGAAUACGUGGGUGGCAGUUGCAGAUAAAUCUUCAGGAGAAGCUAAAUGGGCUGCAAUCAUAUUCACUCUUCUUCUCACAGUCAGACCCUCCAUUUCUCUACUUUCUUUAAACACAGAGCAAACUACUNNN
rnacentral:lncRNA from 1 species